CCCCCCAUUCUCUCACCCAUUUCUGACUGCCUCCCCUCACGGCAAUCUUACAGAUUGAAAUAUUUUUUAAUCGGCUCGUAAUAAUGGAGUUAGUGAUAAAGAAGUGCAAACUCAAGUAUUCCAGUUGGACAUAAUUCCUCCUGGACCGGUUUGUGCUUGGGAAGGCACCAUUAAUAAGAAUCCAUGGCAUAGACGUCUUAUUUUCAGCAGAAUUUGUUGGACAGACUUCAUAAGAAGCUCGGAGGUCUUAGCCCUGAAAUUAUUGAACGUUGAGCAGCUGCUGCCUCAGCCACAUUCCUCCAGCAGAGAGCAUGUUGCUUAGUUUUAAGUUUCCAGAAACUAGGACGCUUAUCAAAAAGAACAAAACAAAAAAAACUGAAAAAUAAAACAAAAUAGAAACUCAGGAAAGCUGCAUGCUAUUGAAAAAAGUGAGGAGAUAGAUUGUGGCAAAGCCAAGAAGGUUGGUUUGGGGUGGGGUUUGGGUAUGGGGGGGGUGGAUUUUUUAUUUUGUUUUUCUUUUCCUACUGUUUGUUAUUGAUGGAGAGAACUGUGAGUUAAACCCUAGUGUGUGCUCUUGUCAAGUGACAACAGCAAACACCAAUGGGUAUGCUUUAGGUAGUGUAUAAAAGACUACCUAGUCCUGAAUAUUUUUUUUCCUUCCUGCCCACCCAUCUCCUUUAAUCCAUACAUACGAAGCAUGUUCCUUCCAUCACAUCACUUCAGUGUUUCAUUUUGGGUAGAGCUUUAGAUACCCCAUCUUUAAAGUCAGGAUUGCCUACAUUGUUAGUUUUGAGUUCUUCCUUUUAGUCUACAGAAACAUUGAGAAGGAUCAAGUCUACUUUUCUUAUUUUCCUUCAGAUUGUUCUAAAGUGGCAGAAGUUACCUAAUUUUUUUUAAUGGUGCCAGAAUUAGUUCUGAUAUGAAUGCAUCACUAUAUGUAAAUGUGUGUACAUGUAUAUGGAUAUAUGUACACACAACACAUAUACAACGUAUAUCUAGAUAUACAAAUGUAUAUGUGUAUGUGUACGUACACACACACACACACACACGUACACACACACACAAGUAUGCAAGGGGAUUACUGGCAGAUUUCCAUUAGUCUGAUUUUUUUUUUACUGGCCA
rnacentral:lncRNA from 1 species